CUUUGGCUUCCCCACCGGCAAUGGAGCGGUUGACGUUGCCUCUCGGCGGCGCGGCGGCGGUGGACGAGUACCUGGAGUACCGGAGAAUUGUUGGUGAGGAUGAUGGAGGGAAACUUUUUACUCCUGAAGAAUAUGAAGAAUACAAAAGAAAAGUUUUACCUCUGCGCUUACAAAACAGAUUAUUUGUGAGCUGGCGGUCACCAACAGGGAUGGAUUGUAAACUUGUGGGCCCAGAGACACUGUGUUUUUGUACACAUAGGUAUAAACAACAUAAAACUGACUUGGAAGCGAUUCCUCAGCAGUGCCCCAUUGAUCUGCCCUGCCAAGUGACUGGCUGCCAGUGCAGGGCUUACCUUUAUGUCCCCUUGAAUGGUAGCCAGCCCAUUCGCUGCAGGUGCAAACACUUUGCUGAUCAGCACAGUGCUGCGCCUGGCUUUACAUGCAAUACAUGUUCCAAGUGUUCAGGAUUCCAUAGCUGCUUCACUUGUGCUUGUGGUCAGCCUGCAUAUGCCCAUGACACAGUAGUGGAAACUAAGCAAGAAAGAUUGGCUCAGGAAAAACCAGUGGGACAGGACAUUCCUUAUGCAGCCAUGGGAGGAUUAACUGGUUUCAGCUCGCUGGCGGAAGGCUACAUGCGGUUAGAUGACAGUGGGAUUGGUGUACCUUCAGUUGAAUUUUUAGAAUCUCCCAUUACGGCAGUAGACAGCCCAUUCCUAAAAGCAUUUCAAGCAUCAUCUAGUUCUUCUCCAGAAACGUUAACAGAUGUAGGUACAAGUAGUCAAGUUUCUUCAUUAAGGAGACCUGAAGAGGAUGAUAUGGCUUUCUUUGAAAGACGAUACCAGGAAAGGAUGAAAAUGGAAAAGGCUGCUAAGUGGAAAGGAAAAGCUCCAUUGCCAUCAGCUACAAAACCUUCAUGAAGACUAUUGGAGAAAUUAAAACCAUCAUCCAAGUAUCUUUUUCAUGUUUAUUUAAAUGCUGAAGAUAUCUACUGAUUUUUACGUUGUGUUGUCAACCACCCAUUGUCUAUGACUGUACUGGACACAUCUUGUGUGCCACUGCAAAUCCUCUUGGCCCCGUUUCUUACUCCAUUACUGCUGUGGAACACUUUCCAGCAGGCUUCUGAUAGCGGAAGCCAUUUGAUGGCACCUUGUCUUGGGCGCAUGUCAUGGCUCUCUUGCUUCCUUCUGCAGGGAUCUUCUGACACUGUGGCUUGGGAUGCCCACUAGAACCCCACUGUAUGAUACAUAUGCAGCCCAAAGAUGUUGGGGAGCUAGUGACUUUGGGGCCACUCUUGAUUAAUGGGAGGUGGAAGCCCAAUACAUAAGUGCUCUCCCGUCUGUUGGGAAGACAAUUCUGAAAUGCAUUUCAUAAACUUCCUCAGAAAGUCCUAUCGUUGAGCUCCAGUCACCCAUAGCAGUGGCCAACUCAAUAAUAAUAUAUCCUUAUCUUUCUUUUUUCCUUUUCCACUCCUCUACCCCUCCCUCUAGUUCCCUCAGAUCACUUCCCAAAUAAACUACUUGUAUAACAACA